AACAACAUGAUUCAGAAAAGAGAGAAUGAAGGUUUGCUUCAAUUGUAAAAAAGAAAAUAAGGUGAUCCAGUUCCUUAAAUGGAAAAUUAUAACAAAAAAUAAAAUUUCAAAGGUCCUCUCACUUGGAAUUGCAGAUCUGAGUGAGUAGUUGAAUUCAAGAACUGUUCACUCAAAUAUUUGUUAGAAACCCUUAGAAUGUACCUAGAUUCCUUUUUGACACAUCACAAAAUACUGACGUAAUUGGACACCAGUUCUCUCUUCUUACUAUGUAUCUUUUAAAAUGGGCUCCCUUGUUUUAUUCUCCUUCCCACUGACUUUGCUCAGUUUAACUUCACUUUUUUGCCUGAUCUGCAGUGACCUUCUGAGUGAUCUUUCUGUUCGUGGUCUCUUUCUUCUUUACUCUGUUCUCCAAAUUGGUAACCAAAUGUCUUUCUAAAAUUCAGACCUGAUGUGUCAUUUCCCAUAUAAAUCCUCUCAGUGACCCCUUUUCACUGAUGGAAUAAACCUCGGGCUCUUCAAGAUGGUCUGCAAAGCCCUCAUGAUGUGACCCUUGCCUAACUUUUUGGCUUCAUGUGUCACAACUGCACACAUGGUGCUUUCCUUCCAGACACAUGGUGCUUUGGGGCCUGGUAAUAUGUUUUUCCUUCAGCAUGCUAUUUCUUCUGCCUUCACUGCUGUCCACAAGACCAAUCAGUUCUUAAAUUUUUCUGUCCAGCUUGCUAGAUAACCCAGGAUAGGGUCACUUCAUUUUGUAUAUACUGGUGUUAGAGUACCAUUCUCAGUAUAUGUGAGAUGCAGCAUUGGAACGUAGUGGAAACUUUGCUUUAUAAUCAAACAAAUCUUAAGUCCUACUUUAUAGCCUGUGGCCUGUUAUCUAUACUUUUGAGUCCCAGUUUUCCCUUUUUCCAAAUAAGAGUAGGAAGACCCCAGUUUUGUAAAGAUUAACAAAUAUGAAAUUCCCAAUACUAUAGUCUAUUCAUUAUUCAUGGUAGGAGCUUAAUAAAUGAUAGCCACAAGGUAUUAUAUCAUAAUUACUUUGUUAACUGAAUUGUCUUCAUUAACUUUAAACUCCUUAAGAAGGGGGAGUUAUAUCUUUUUUUUUUUUAUUGUUCAUGUUUCUGGUCUCAGCACCUAACAAGUACCCGAUGUACAGCAAGUGUACAAUAAAGAUUUGCUCAAAGCAUCAACAAACAAAUAAAGGAUACAGAAUGAUGAAUUCUCUAAAUCUAGGAUGUUUGAGAAUUUGAACUAAAAUAGGAUUAGCAAUAAUGACAUUUAUAGUUCUACAAAUCUCAAGCAUAAUUAAAGCAUCAUUCGAUGUUCUGGUGUUUGAGCUUUCUGUGCUGACAGAUUGGCAUGUCUGGUAGCUAGCUCUGUAUCUUCCAAGAGGACAGACGACUAUCAACAGGAAAUUAAGCUUUGUGUAGAGCUUGGCCCAGCAUUGUCUUACCUUCUUUCUCUGGUUGUUUGAAGACUGACCCUGAUACCUAAAUGGCAUUGCAUUUUGACACUCGGGCGAGUCAGAGCAUGUGAAGUGGGAAGUGGAAAGAGACGGAGAUGACCAGGUAAUUAGAGGCCAGGUGGAGGAGCAGCUUGAAGUUCAUGGCUUACUUGGACAUUAUCCUGUAGGAGCUUCAUUACUGGGUUUAAGUAGGGAUGUGACAGAACCAGAUGUCUACUUUAAGAGCAUUUUAUAUGGAGGAUGUUUAUAGGAUGAUUCAGAAGGGAGUGAAUCUAAAGGGAACAUGAGUUAGGGGUUGGUCAGUAACAAGCAGACUAAGUGGCAAGUGAACUAAGCAGUGGUCAGGGCCGGCUUCAGGGGCCUACGGCGUGUGCAGUCACACAGGCCCUGCACUUAGGCCUCUGCUUGGUUUAAUGCUCUGUUGUCACCUCUUGAACCUGUUACUAAUUUUAGAAAAAGGGACCUUGCAUUUUCAUUUUGUAGUUGACCCUGCAAAUUAUUUAACUUGUCCUGGCAGAGGUGGCAAGAGAUGAAUCAUGAUCAGAAGCACAAGUAUUCUGCUCCUCUUUGCUUUUCUGUGUAUGUGAUCUCUUGGGUGUCUUCGGGUUAACCCCCGCCUGAUCUGAGUGAGGUGUGGGCGUUGGGGUGAGAGGAGUAGAAAAGAUGUAAGAAUUUUAUUGUAGUAAUAUGAAAGGGAAGACUUACUAAGUAUUCUCUGUCCUUUAAUAAGGAAACUUUGAGGUAUCAUUCAGGUAAUAGAUACUCAGGAUUUAUUGAGAGUGGAAAGAAUUUUCUAUAUUCUUUUAUCUUUCUCUGAUUGAAGAAUAAAAUCUUAUUCUGUGCACAAAAUAGGGGUAAAACCUGGCUAUGGGAAGCCCAAACCCAGUUCCUUCUAACCUGAGGACUGUGUCAGCCAGGUAUCAGAGAGCGGCCUUCAAGAAACAGUGGCUUCUGGCGUUGAGGUUUCCGUGCUGGGUAAAUGUCCACGUGGCCCCAAGAAUGACAGAAGCGGAGGCAGCCAUUUCAGCGGCUGAGCAGCUGCCAGUGUUCCUAGUGGGGGUGCUCACUCUCUCCCCGUGCCCCACACAAGCACAACUCCUAAGCUUUGCUGCAGUAUUUGACCUUGGAGCAGGAGAGAGAAAGCCACAAUGCAGAUUGUGGCUGGAUUUCCUGACAGCCUGUUGGGAUGGGUGCUUGGAGUCAAUUUAAGUUAAUAAAAGAAAAUAAGGUGUGCUACUUCUAUUACCUAAAUAAAAGGUCACAAAUUUGUACUUACUGUAUAUUCAUAAACUACUGCUUGGCACUAAAAUGCUGGAAAUAUUAAGGCAUGAUCUUAAUCCCAGAAACUAAUUCCCUCAUAGGAAUAGUUUUAAGAGUAUGAAAUUGCAGAUUAUAUUCAUUCUUUACAUAUAAAUUUAAUAGGCCAUUAAGUUAUUUGGAGUUUUACAACCACAGUAUAUGUGAACAAUUGCAUAUUGUUAAAACUGUUACCUUUUGCACUUCCUAACUGCCAUAGCAUGGGGUUUAGCAUUAUAAUGCUUUUUCAUAUCUUUUAAACAAUUUCCUUAUUAUAACUUUCCCUUUCAUCUUUGUAUAACUAAGACUUAUUUGUUUUUAUGGGAUCCUAAAGGAAAAUAUUUGUAAACUUCCAGCAUGAGAAACAGACUUAUUCCUACCUCCCCGACUGGUAUGCAUAUGUUUGGAAAUACUAGGCUUGUGCAAUUCUCAGUACUUGCAAAACUCAAGAACAUAAACCUUUGUUGCAAAAAGAGUGUACCCAUCACUUUUUCUGUAUUAAUUAUUUUGUGCUUUUUCAAUACUCUGUAUAGAAGGUUCUAACAGUAAUGCCUGUCAGUCUUAAUGUUCCCAGGUGCCCAAAUGUUUGAAUGGAGCCACUGCAUCUGUUACAGACAAUGCUAAUAUAAUUAGGGCUAAGAUUGGCCUGUGAGCAGACAUCUUUCUGAUAGCUGGCCCACCACUCUUAAAGCCUGCAUUAGGACUUGGUACCAGGUCUUUUCCAGUACAUCCUAGUUUCAGGAAAUAUUGCCAUCUUGUGAUGGAAGGAAUACAGGAAUCACAAAUGGUUUAGUACUGGAGAAGCAAGGUGUCUCUCUGCGCUUCCUGCCAGUCCCAGCAGAUGGCGCCUUCAACAUGUUGACUAACUCAGACUAGCUGAGUUGAAUACUAUUCAGCAAUAAAAAGGAAUAAACUAUGUACACACACUACAGCAUGGAUCGCCAUCCAAAUAAAAGCAGCAAAAGAAGCUAGAUACUAAAAGGGCAUUUAUACUGUAUAAGUCCAUUUAUAUAAGGGUCAAGGUCAGAUAGAAGUAUUCUUAGGUCAUAAAAAUCCGAUCAGUGAGGAGAGGGGCUGAGGAGAGAAGGGCUUAAGGUACUAUCUCAGGCAUUGGAAAAUUCUAUAUCUUGGCUGUGGUGGUAUUUACAUUAGUAUAUACACAUUUGUCAAAACUCAGACUAUUUAAAUGGAUGCAUUUCAUUAAAUGAAAAUUACAUCUCAGCAAAAUUGUUUAUAAACAAAUACAAAUCUUGAAGCAUUUCACCAUGAUUAAUAUUUGCCUCAACUGAAAAAUAAAGAAAAUCCUAGUUUAACUUAAUAAAAUCUUUAUCCCUUUUCUAUUUUGAAACCCUAUUACCAGCUUUCUGAACUCACUUUUAAUCCUUAGCAAGUAGGUGAUUUUCAAGUAAUUCAU